rnacentral:rRNA from 1 species
AGUGAACGCUGGCGGUAGGCCUAACACAUGCAGGUCGAACGGCAGCACAGUAAGAGCUUGCUCUUACGGGUGGCGAGUGGCGGACGGGUGAGGAAUACAUCGGAAUCUACUUUUUCGUGGGGGAUAACGUAGGGAAACUUACGCUAAUACCGCAUACGACCUACGGGUGAAAGCAGGGGAUCUUCGGACCUUGCGCGAUUGAAUGAGCCGAUGUCGGAUUAGCUAGUUGGCGGGGUAAAGGCCCACCAAGGCGACGAUCCGUAGCUGGUCUGAGAGGAUGAUCAGCCACACUGGAACUGAGACACGGUCCAGACUCCUACGGGAGGCAGCAGUGGGGAAUAUUGGACAAUGGGCGCAGGCCUGAUCCAGCCAUACCGCGUGGGUGAAGAAGGCCUUCGGGUUGUAAAGCCCUUUUGUUGGGAAAGAAAAGCAGCAGGUUAAUACCCCGCUGUUCUGACGGUACCCAAAGAAUAAGCACCGGCUAACUUCGUG